AACUCAUAAAUGGAUCAAAAUUGGAUAUUCUUGUAAAGUCGUAUGCUGCCCCAAAUCCAUGUAGACCUGAAAACCCAAUAUUUAAUAUCAGCGAUACUAGUCACCUAUUAAAGACAGCAAGAAAUUCUCUGUACUCUCUUCUAAGCCAGGAGGUACCAAAUACAACAUGCAUAAGGAUGGCAAAGAUACUGUGGACCCACAUUCAAGAAUUGUUUAGUUUGGAUUCCAAAACCCCACUUCACAAGACAAAUUUGGCACUCUUUCACAUGAACCUAAAUUCUUGCAACAAAAUGAGUGUUCUAAUUGCAAAACAAACCUUGAGCUUGAGAGUUGGUAUUGCCUUGGAGCGAGAUGUUGUUGGUGCCGAUGGUACCGCAAAGUAUGUUUUGCUAAUGGACAACGGUCUUACAUGCGACGAAAUACCAAUCCGGACAUUAGUCAAAUAGGAUACGGGUGACAGCAAUAUCACAGCGUAAUAUUAUUAAAAAGAUAAAAGGUGGGAACACAACCUUCGGAAAAAAUAAAACCUUGGACAAGUGUUUGUAACGAACCAAUGCCAAAACAAACCAAGUUUUAAAAGCACUCAUUUCACCAACGAAAUGCUUGCCUGAAGCUACAUUCUGCUGCUAGAAUGAAAGACGUGGAGUUCGAAUUAGGUGAAGCAUUAAAACAUGCCCUUCAUAAACAAGGUGGAACUAAGUAUAAGGUAUAGGAAAAGGUUCCAUCAGUACUGAUCAAAAGUAUGUAAGCGAACAACAUUGUAGAGACAGUUUAACAACAUUUGCAAGAAUAUUUCAUCAUUCAGUUCAAAUGGUCUGUUUCAUACAAUAUAUGACUCAUGCAAGAGUUAUGUUGUUUUAACAUUUAUUGUUUUCAUUGUUUUAAAUAAAGAAUGCAUGAGAUGUUCAACCAUACACUGGUAGAAAUGUGAAAAUCGCUGUUAAAUUCGCAAAGUAAUAUUACAGUGUACAAUUUUAGUUAAACCGCUUUCAAAAUCGAAAAUUUACGUUUACAUUCACAGUAAAACUGCGAAAUGAUGGGUAGUUUUACAGUAGAUUACACACGUAAAUUAGUACACGUAGUGUAAUUUCAGUAAAACUUACCGUUAAACUACAUGUUAUUUUUGCAAAACACAGGCAGUUUUACAGUACCUUUUGCGGAUGAGACAGUAAAACGCUCAUGAAACGUUCGGAAACUGUUGGUAGAAUAAUAGGUAAAGAACUUUUUUGAGGUCAUAAAGAAAGUUACAGUUUUAAUGCUGACAAUGCUACUACUUAGUUAAUGUUGACAAUGCUACCUAGUUAAUGAAUAUUGCGAUCAAAAUCAUAAACAACUUGAUUUAACACUUCAUAAGACAAAAAAAUAACAGCGAUAAUACU